CCUAAUGAUGAUUUCUUUUUGCUGUAUUUUCUGAAUACAUUUGAAGAAAAACUCUUUUCACCUUGGAGAACUGAUAA
rnacentral:snoRNA from 1 species